GCAGCCGACCACUCAGGAUUACGUGGAAAGGUUUUGCGUUUGCAAAUUGCCUUUUGGGUUACGUGAGAAGGUUUUUUUGUAUUUGCGAAUUGCCUUUUGUGUAUUAGCACGGAAAGCUUUUGAAAAGGCAACUUAGGCGGGUGAUUUUGGAGAAAUGAGAAUCGAGGUGGAAUUGGUUCGACAAAUCCGUUCCGUGCCAAAUGCCACAGAAGAAGAAGAAAUAGCAAGACAUCGCCACCGCAUUUCCUUCUAGAUGAAUCACCUCACUUUAUGGUUCUCCCGUCUUAAUCAAUGCGUAUAAUUCCUAAUUCCCUUUGCUUUGGUGUUUAGAGUCUUUGGACAGUGACUCCAAUGCUUUCGGUGGUUCUUCUGCAUUUUGGUCUACAAGAAGCGACCCAGUUUCAAGACCCCAUUGGGAAAUAAUUACAGCAGUUUUGAGCUCCCCAAAGGCAAAACUGUGCCUGAUGACCGGAUGGUGGACUCAAUCAGUCACCCUCGGAGUAGGAAUUAAUGACUAGCCAUACCAAUCGUUCGUCCAUCCGUUGGCAGCAGAAUCAUGCACGCUCCGUUGCAGUGGGUCUAUUACGGCGUAGUAGGAAAUUUCUGAAUCUGUGUAAUUACUGUUGAAAGGAAUUACCUGUGGUAGCAAUUGCUUUUCGGAUAAACCUGUGAAAUUACCUUAUAUUCUGUGUAUUUAUUAUUUACUGUUGAAAGGAAAUUUCUGAUGUUAUUUGGACGAUAGGCCUUAGACUAGACACGGUUGCAGCCGAGCACGGCGCCUUUUAUAGGCCAACACAAAGCAUCCUACCAGCUCCAGGACCCGCGGGUUCAGAGGCUAAGGAAUCUCCAAAGAACGGAGCUAGGGCUAGAAAUUUCAUUAGGAUGUGAUAGAGAAUGAAGCCUGUCCGUCCAUUUAUAUAUUCGAACAAAAAUACGUUGUCCCAGAAAAGCUACAUGUGAAUGAGUAGAUCUUUUAU